UACGGAGGGUGCGAGCGUUGUCCGGAAUCACUGGGCGUAAAGGGCGCGUAGGCGGCCCGCGCAAUCGUGCGGGGAAAGCCCGGGGCUCAACCCCGGGUCGGCCGUGCGGACUGCGGGGCUCGAGCACUGUAGGGGCAGAUGGAAUUCCGGGUGUAGCGGUGGAAUGCGUAGAGAUCCGGAAGAACACCGGUGGCGAAGGCGGUCUGCUGGGCAGUAGCUGACGCUGAGGCGCGACAGCGUGGGGAGCAAACAGG
rnacentral:rRNA from 1 species